AUGUUCAGCGCUGCCACUGCAAUUUCUCUCGGCGACGGGGAUUUUGCGAGGUUCUGGACGGAAAAUUGGCUGCCGAAUGGUCGUUCGAUUGCUACCUUGGCGCCAGAGUUGUUCUCCUUCGUCAAGGACUCUGGCCGCUCUGUCUGUGAGGCCUUGCAUAGUCAAUCUUGGAUUAGAGAAAUCAAAGGCGGCAUAUUGGUGCAGGCGCUCGCUCAGUACCUGUUCGUCUGGGAUACGGUGCAGGCCACCAAUCUUACGCCAAGUGCGCGGGAUCGGGCAAUCUGGAAGCUUACUAAGGAACAAGUUUUUACGGUCAGCAGUGCGUACAGAUUGCUCUUCAUGGCUAAUGUGCGUUUUGCAUGCAACAAACCAAUCUGGAGGCGAGCCGGCGUGCCUAAGUCGAUGCGUCGCAACUUCGACACUAUUACUAUCCUCAUGCACUGGAGGCUAUAGAAGGAGAGAAACUCCAGGAUUUUUGACGAGGUGGCAAGCAGCGCCGACAGGGUGCUGGAUUUGGUCUGCGAAGAUAUUGCCAUUUGGCGUGCGACCGGUUGUAUUGUUGAGCUCGGAGCCUAA
rnacentral:rRNA from 1 species